rnacentral:lncRNA from 1 species
AAUUGCAAACCAAGAUAAAUCUUUUUUCUUUAUAAGAAAAUUAUCUCAGAUAUUUUGUCAUAGUGAUAGAAAGCUGACUAGCACAUAGGCCAAGAGCCAAAGUAUGCGGGUGACCUUUGGAAGCAGGGAAAGGCAAGGAAAUGGAUUCUCCGCUGGAGUCCCCAGAAGGAACACAGCCUUGCUGAUUCAUUUUGCUCUUCUGACAUCUAGGAGCUAACACGUUUGUGUCAUUUUAAGCCUCAAAGUUCAGGGGGAACAUAUUACAAGAGCACGAGGGAUUCUACACUGCUUCAAGAGCAGCUGAUGCCUGAUGGGUACAGGGCAACUGGAGAAGAGGGAGCCAGGCAGAACCCAGCCUGGAAGGAACACGGUUGGAGUCUUGCAGAAGCUGGCCUCAUCUCCUGACUUGAUGGCAGAAGGAGUCACUGCAGCAGCCCACCCUGCAUUUACCACUUCCAGCUGCCCGCUUCCACAUCUGUGGUUGUUUUCUGGCAUUCUCUUUUUCUUGCCAUCUCCACAGAUGGAUCAGAAUUGAGCUGAUGGAAGGUAAGGGCUUCCUGAUUAUGGUCAGAACCCUCGACUUUGAAGAUUCGGGGACUGAUAAGACCUUUUGGGCCUUUCCCAUGGAGAGUCUAAAGUAUCUAGCCACUUCUCUGUGACCUGCUGCUGAGUUGGGGGAUGGAAAUCGCUGCUAGGCACAGGCUGGGUGUGUUAACCUCUGUCUCACUCUCAUCUCAGCAUUGGACUUGGUACUGGGUAAAGCUCUCUGCCCACAAUAGCCCUGCUUUCAUUCAGAAGGCUUAACAGUCAGGCAGUCUCCAUCUGUAAAGCUAAGGAAGAAGACAAGAGGAGGAUGGCAGAAUUCUUGGCCACAAGGUUCUUAGACUGUCAGCUGGGAUGAUUAAACUUGCUUGUCAGUUUGGUUUGAUUGAAAGACACCCAGGAGAUUAGUCAAUCUUACCUCUGGGUGUGUCUGUGAGAGCCUUUUCUGAGACAAUCAGAUCACAGGGCUCUGACUAAUCCAUUGUUGAAUUCCAAACUUAGAGAACUGGGAGUCUGUAGGAAAGUGGAAGGUGGGGCUAAGCUGGAGAAAGUGGCAGACAGGUGAACCUUCAAAGGCUGCCUCUCAGCUCUGGGCCCCUCCUGUUGUUCUUCUUUGCUUCCUGGCUCCCAGUGAGGUGAUUCACCAUGCCUUUCUUCCAUGAGGUAUUUCUUUAUUUAGGCCAUCCAGCAUGGAUCAAAACCUCUGAAACCAUGAGCCAAAGGAAAGUCUUCCUCAGACUCCUUUCUCUAGGUAUGUGUCACAACGAUGGACAUCUAACACACUGCAGAAGUAAAACCUGUAUCUAAGUCAUUACAGUUGUCUGUCCUCUUAUGGGAAAUACUUUGCAAGACUUCUGAUGGAUGCUCGAAGUUCCAUGUAAUGUUAGCUCCUAUAUAGACGGUGAUAAAGUUUAACAUAUAAAGGGGGCACAUUAAGAGGUUAAUAGCAACGACGAAAAGUG